GCUGGGCACUGUGGUGUGUGCCUGUCAUCCCAGCUACUUGGGAGGCUGAGGCAGAAGAAUCACUUGAACCUGGGAGGUGAAGUUUGCAGUGAACCAGGAUCCUGCCACUGCACUUCAGCCUGGGUGACAGAGUGAGACUCUGUCUCAA
rnacentral:sRNA from 1 species